rnacentral:piRNA from 1 species
UGGCAGUGCUAAAACAGACUAACACAAGGGA